rnacentral:rRNA from 1 species
UACGUAGGGUGCGAGCGUUAAUCGGAAUUACUGGGCGUAAAGCGUGCGCAGGCGGUCUGUUAAGACCGAUGUGAAAUCCCCGGGCUUAACCUGGGAACUGCAUUGGUGACUGGCAGGCUUUGAGUGUGGCAGAGGGAGGUAGAAUUCCACGUGUAGCAGUGAAAUGCGUAGAGAUGUGGAGGAACACCGAUGGCGAAGGCAGCCCCCUGGGUCAAAACUGACGCUCAUGCACGAAAGCGUGGGGAGCAAACAGG